UAAGCCCCCUGCCCUCUGAUCCCCGAUGUUUGUGGAGCCUGCACUGCUGUCUAGCAGCAAGGUCUAUUUUUCUCUCCCAUGGCGUAAGUGGACACAGCUGUCCGGGGCUGAUUUAUAGGAGGAAGUCACCAGUAGGAGCCCCGGAGGCUCUCACAGCCUCAUGGCUUCACUUCCACUUCCCGGUUCACCGCAGCCACGAGAACUCCGGGCGGGGGUGGUGGGGUGCCCAGUAAGCUGGAUGGUGCCGGGCGUUAUCCUUCUGGGAGACGCGCCCCAAAGAAGCCCCCGAAGGCUGCCAGGCUGGUUGUUUUCUCCACCGCUGAUUGAAUUUAGAUCCUGUUUGGUGGAGCAAAGACUCAUCUGAAGAAGGAAACAAGGUGUCAAGACUCCUCACUGAGAGUCAGCUCUUCCACCGUCUGCUCUCUGCUUCCCCUGUGGUGAACAUAUUUGCUGGACCAGAAAUCGAGACACAUGGUCUGGCCAUGAAAAAAUGAAAUUGAGACUGUUCCAGAAAAUCUAGGACAUAUGUUCUCCAGAGCUGUGGCAACAUGGGACUAUGUACACAGUAUAUGCCUAAUAAAUGCCUGCACUGAAAAUCA
rnacentral:lncRNA from 1 species